GAGGCAGAAAUAUUAUAAACACAUAUCAAAGGCAAAGUCUACACCAUCCAAAUACGUCAGUAAAAUAAUGGAUGCAAUGCAUCAAGAAAAAACAUCCAUUCCAAAGAUGUAACACCCAAAUCAUUAGGAAACAUUUGGAAAGUGAACUUUAAUCUGAUGGGGGCAAUGGUACAUGGAUAUGGACUUUAUGGCGUCUUUGACAGUUCCCAGUGGAGUCAUCGUUGAGCGUAUACCAUUUAAAUCCUUGUACAAGUACUUUUGUUGUUGACAACAUUCCAGACACGCUUUACAUACAGCUGGACAACUGCCCUGGUCAGAACAAGAACAGGUACGUUCUUGGGUUUCAGGCUAAACUAGUAGAAGAAAACAUAUUCAAAAAAGUAAAACUAUCUUUCCUGAUGGUGGGCCAUACGCACGAAGACAUCGACCAGCAAUUUAGUCGGAAUGGUUAUCCUGAUGUGGCUCAGAAGAAUAUUUAAUUCAGGGCAGUCCUUCCACAUACAUAAACAAGAUACCACCAACAACAGAGAAAAUAGAUAUAGAGAAAACCAAACACGACAU